UGGGGAAUUUUGGACAAUGGGCGAAAGCCUGAUCCAGCAAUGCCGCGUGUGUGAAGAAGGCCUUCGGGUUGUAAAGCACUUUUGUCCGGAAAGAAAUCCUUGGCUUUAAUACAGUCGGGGGAUGACGGUACCGGAAGAAUAAGCACCGGCUAACUACGUGCCAGCAGCCGCGGUAAUACGUAGGGUGCAAGCGUUAAUCGGAAUUACUGGGCGUAAAGCGUGCGCAGGCGGUUUGCUAAGACCGAUGUGAAAUCCCCGGGCUCAACCUGGGAACUGCAUUGGUGACUGGCAGGCUAGAGUAUGGCAGAGGGGGGUAGAAUUCCACGUGUAGCAGUGAAAUGCGUAGAGAUGUGGAGGAAUACCGAUGGCGAAGGCAGCCCCCUGGGCCAAUACUGACGCUCAUGCACGAAAGCGUGGGGGACAAACAGGAUUAGAUACCCUGGUAGUCCACGCCCUAAACGAUGUCAACUAGUUGUUGGGGAUUCAUUUCCUUAGUAACGUAGCUAACGCGUGAAGUUGACCGCCUGGGGAGUACGGUCGCAAGAUUAAAACUCAAAGGAAUUGACGGGGUCAUAGCUGUUUCCU
rnacentral:rRNA from 1 species